GAGGGCAUAGCUCAGUGGUAGAGCACAUGCUUAGCAUGCAUGAGGUCCUGGGCUCAAUCCCUAGUACCUCCA
rnacentral:tRNA from 1 species